GGCUUAGAGUUUGAUCCUGGCUCAGGAUGAACGCUGGCGGCGUGCCUAAUACAUGCAAGUCGAGCGAACGGACGAGAAGCUUGCUUCUCUGAUGUUAGCGGCGGACGGGUGAGUAACACGUGGAUAACCUACCUAUAAGACUGGGAUAACUUCGGGAAACCGGAGCUAAUACCGGAUAAUAUUUUGAACCGCAUGGUUCAAAAGUGAAAGACGGUCUUGCUGUCACUUAUAGAUGGAUCCGCGCUGCAUUAGCUAGUUGGUAAGGUAACGGCUUACCAAGGCAACGAUGCAUAGCCGACCUGAGAGGGUGAUCGGCCACACUGGAACUGAGACACGGUCCAGACUCCUACGGGAGGCAGCAGUAGGGAAUCUUCCGCAAUGGGCGAAAGCCUGACGGAGCAACGCCGCGUGAGUGAUGAAGGUCUUCGGAUCGUAAAACUCUGUUAUUAGGGAAGAACAUAUGUGUAAGUAACUGUGCACAUUUUGACGGUACCUAAUCAGAAAGCCACGGCUAA
rnacentral:rRNA from 1 species